rnacentral:sRNA from 1 species
UGAAACGUUGUCAGUGGAUUUAUUUAAUUAUAGAGAAGUGAAUUUUUAAUAUUUGACAAGUUGAUGCAUUUUCAAAAGUUUCUGAACGACUACCACCAGUGAAGCUCAUCAUUGUCUUGGUCAUUGGGGGCCCGAUGAAUAUCAACUAGCAUCAGGGGAAGGAAGCCUUUUCUGUCACAUAUGUAGCUUAGUUCAUUUUCUUUAUUUUUUACUUCAUUUUGAUUUUAUUUAUUUGCUUAUAUCAUGAUAAAUAGAUAAAUCCCUAUAACGCAGGGAAAGCUAGCCAAAUACGUUUAUAAUCAAUGGGC